UACAUGGGGUGCAAACGUUGCUCGGAAUUAUUGGGCGUAAAGCGCGCGUAGGCGGUUACUCAAGUCGGAUGUGAAAGCCCUCGGCUUAACUGAGGAAGUGCACCCGAAACUGAGUAGCUAGAGUACUAAAGAGGGUCGCGGAAUUCCCGGUGUAGAGGUGAAAUUCGUAGAUAUUCGGAGGAACACCAGUGGCGAAGGCGGCUCACUGGACCAUUACUGACGCUGAGGUGCGAAAGCGUGGGGAGCGAACAGG
rnacentral:rRNA from 1 species